CUUCAGCGAGCCCAGCCACAACGGACGCCCCUCGGCGCGCCCUUGCCCGUACGUCGCGAUGAGCGCCUGCGCCUC
rnacentral:antisense_RNA from 1 species